rnacentral:rRNA from 1 species
UACGUAGGUGGCAAGCGUUGUCCGGAUUUACUGGGCGUAAAGAGCGUGCAGGCGGUCGUUCAAGUCGCGUGUGAAAGCCCCCGGCUCAACUGGGGAGGGUCACGCGAUACUGAUCGACUCGAAGGCAGGAGAGGGUAGUGGAAUUCCCGGUGUAGUGGUGAAAUGCGUAGAUAUCGGGAGGAACACCAGUGGCGAAGGCGACUACCUGGCCUGUUUCUUGACGCUGAGGCGCGAAAGCUAGGGGAGCAAACGGG